rnacentral:rRNA from 1 species
UACAGAGGUCUCAAGCGUUGUUCGGAUUCAUUGGGCGUAAAGGGCGCGUAGGCGGCGGGGUAAGUCGGGUGUGAAAUCUCAGAGCUCAACUCUGAAACUGCACUCGAUACUGCUCUGCUUGAGGACUGGAGAGGAGACUGGAAUUCACGGUGUAGCAGUGAAAUGCGUAGAUAUCGUGAGGAAGACCAGUGGCGAAGGCGGGUCUCUGGACAGUUCCUGACGCUGAGGCGCGAAAGCUAGGGGAGCAAACGGG